CUCGGGCAGUUUGAGUUGAUCCGCUCUUUUGACAUGGAGCUUUGGGUCAAAUUACUGUCCGGAAAUGAUAGAGAAGAGCUUUUCAGAUUUCUACUGACGUUGCUAGAAGACGUUGGGAUUGAAGGGCUCUUCCCACAUUU
rnacentral:snoRNA from 1 species